rnacentral:misc_RNA from 1 species
GAUGAAGAACGUAGCGAAAUGCGAUAAGUAAUGUGAAUUGCAGAAUUCAGUGAAUCAUCGAAUCUUUGAACGCAUCUUGCGCUCCUUGGUAUUCUGAGGAGUAUGCCUGUUUGAGUGUCAUUAAAUUCUCAACUACACUGACUUUGAAUUGGUGUGGCUUGGAUUUGGGGGGAAAAUUGUUGUGGGCUUUUUGUAUAGUCUGCUCCCCUGAAAUUGAUUAGCGGUACCUUUGUGGAACUGUCUACAGGUGUGAUAAUUAUCUACAUCUUAGACAUCUGCUGGAAUGCUGCUCUCUAAACCUUACUUGUAUUGACAAUCUUGACCUCAAAUCAGGUAGGACUACCCGCUGAACUUAAGCAUAUCAAUAAGCGGAGGA